UCAUCUAUCCGUCAUGCAUCUA
rnacentral:miRNA from 1 species